GGUUCUUCUUGUUCGUUUACUAUAAAAGCCACACACCUUCUGCUUUGUUGCUCAUCGUUUUGGGCUCUCUUUGCUUUGUUUGUUGAGUGGUUAAAGUUGUAUUUGUUUUGUGUUGGUCGCGAUGGUUAUGGAUAACUCAUUUGUUAAGUCGUCUGUUGUUGUUUCUGGUAUUCCUGGAAAUUUGUUGUUCUGGUGGUUAGGAUGUGGAAAUUUGUUAAGCUCGGUGGAGUUGGUGUUGGUUGAUCAGAAUGUCUGAAGUAUUUGGAUGCGUUACGGAAUAAGGUUUUUGUCGAAGACCUGUGAAUGUUUGAUCUUUGAGAGUUUCUCGUGUUAGCUUAGGAUAAAGGCAUUGGUGAGAUGUGGUUGGUUGGGUGAUGAAGACCGGGUUAUUUUGUCGACGAAUUUAGUUUAAUUCUACAUGUUUGUGUAGCGUGAAUGGUUGAUUAUUUUGUUCCCUAAAAAAAAUGAUUAUUUUGCAUAUGUUUCUUGUGGUAGCCUGUUUAUUGUUUUGAUUUGCCCUUUUUGGGUUAUCAAUUAUGUGUAGUUCUCUUUUAUUCGAUCAUCGAUCGAUCUUGAUUGAAGUUUUGUGUAA